AUUGAACGCUGGCGGCAGGCCUAACACAUGCAAGUCGAGCGGAUGAAGGGAGCUUGCUCCUGGAUUCAGCGGCGGACGGGUGAGUAAUGCCUAGGAAUCUGCCUGGUAGUGGGGGAUAACGUCCGGAAACGGGCGCUAAUACCGCAUACGUCCUGAGGGAGAAAGUGGGGGAUCUUCGGACCUCACGCUAUCAGAUGAGCCUAGGUCGGAUUAGCUAGUUGGUGGGGUAAAGGCCUACCAAGGCGACGAUCCGUAACUGGUCUGAGAGGAUGAUCAGUCACACUGGAACUGAGACACGGUCCAGACUCCUACGGGAGGCAGCAGUGGGGAAUAUUGGACAAUGGGCGAAGGCCUGAUCCAGCCAUGCCGCGUGUGUGAAGAAGGUCUUCGGAUUGUAAAGCACUUUAAGUUGGGAGGAAGGGCAGUAAGUUAAUACCUUGCUGUUUUGACGUUACCAACAGAAUAAGCACCGACUAACUUCGUG
rnacentral:rRNA from 1 species